rnacentral:rRNA from 1 species
GAUGAACGCUGGCGGCGUGCCUAAUACAUGCAAGUCGAGCGAACGGACGAGAAGCUUUCUCCUCUGAUUUUAGCGGCGGUCGGGUGCGUAACACGUGGAUAACAUACCUAUCAGACUGGGAUACCUUUGCGAAAUCGGAUCUUAUACCCGAUGAUAUUUUGCACCGCAUUGUUCAAACGUGAAAUAAGGUCUUUCUGUCAGUUAUAGAUGGAUCCGCGCUGCAUGAGCUAGUUGGUAAGGUAACUGCUUACCAAGGCUACGAUGCAUAGACGACCUGAGAGGGUGGUUGGCUAGACGGGAACUGAGACACGGCACAGACACCUGCGGGAGGCAGCAGCAGAGAAUCUUCCGGGAUGGGGGAGAGGGGAACAGUGCAAAGCCGCGGGAGUGAUGAAGGACCUCGGAUCGGUAAGUGAUGAUAUCAGGGAAGAACAAAUGUGUAAUUACCCGUGAUGAUCAUGACGGUACCGAAUGAGAAAGCCACGGCUAACUACGUG